GUCAGUAGUUAGUCAGCCAGUCGUGUUCAGUGCCGGUUGAUGCGCGUGUUCUGCGCUCGUGCCACGUUUUGCAUUUGAAAAUCACUCGUCGCGCGUGCCGAAGUCGUCCAGCCACGAUCGAGACGGUCCGAGUUCAUUCUCAACGUACCGUGUAAUUUAUUCUCUGUAAUUCUCUCCAUUCUUGCAAACAAGUGGAUUAAAUUCAAUUCGCAUAUGAAUUGGCUGUCUCGAUUAUGAUACACUCGCGAGUAUGUACCGUGUCGUUCUCCGCUUGUGUUGCGACUUCGCGGUCUAACCUUCUUUCUCUCUCCCCAGUGGCGAUUUAAAUCUAGUUUACGUCGCGAUCUCCGCUUGUUUUUGUGCGCCAAGUGCGUGUUUAAGUGUGCUGUGUCCUGUUUAUAUUGUCGUGUGCGUUUACAGACGACGAACAUCUAAUCGGCGAGAGCAGAAACCACGAGAUCACGCUCGAUAUACAUUCGAGAGUUCCCCCACUCCUCGGCAAGCUAGCGAGUGCGUUGCUGGCAAGGGCUGAUGGGUAAAUUAUUGCAAACCGCGGCAUUCGACAAGUGUCUCGCGUCGCGCGCGUCCUUUUCUUUAAAAUUCGUCGGAAAUACACUACCAUUCAUCAGUUUCGGGACAAUUUGCGCGUCGAUUGUGACGUGUGGUUAAAUGGUGCGUGAAUUUUACGAAAGUGUACGAAUUAACGAGGCAAUAAGAAGAAAUGACUGAGAAAUAAAAGUUGAAUCAUCUGCAGAGAGGCAGCGACCUGUCUCUCCUGCCAGGACCGGAUGCCAAGCGCAGAGGUCAGCCAUGUCUGCCUCGUAGUCCUCGCGGAGGACCUCCCGGUGAACCGGAAGUUUGCUGCCGAGCCACGCUCAGAGAUAAAGAGAGAAAGAGAGGGAAAGAGAGAGAUUCAGUGAUGCUCGCUCGAAGAGUCGCGGAGGACGACGAAGAGGUGGCGUUGUUCUGGUGACGUAACGCGCGACACACCGGAACAUGAGCAGCCUACAGGUACCGGAGCUUCGGCUUCCGGCCGGAGAUGGCGGUGGCACGACCGGGCCGAACAACAGAGGCACCGCGCCUCUUUUGUUGGUACCCCAGAGCAGCGUGCCCAGGAGGAGACACUCGUGGAUCUGUGGGUGAGUCUACUUUCUAUUGUAGAAUACUUGUCGCCGUGCUCGUCGCAACGUGAGUAAAGUGCAACAACAGUCACGCUUUUCAUUUUUUUCAUAUGUCGCUGCGCUUUUAAACUCCGCCGACGUCCAAACGAAUUUACAAAGA